AUUGAACGCUGGCGGCAGGCCUAACACAUGCAAGUCGAACGAGUGGCGGACGUGUGAGUAAUGUCUGUGAAUCUGCCUGUUGGAUGGGGAUAACUACUGGACACGGUAGCUAAUACCGCAUUCCAUCGGCUGUGCCCUGAUGGGUUUGGCUAGUAGGUGGGGUAACGGCGCACCUAGGCGACUAUCCCUAGCUGGUCUGAGAGGAUGACCAGCCACACUGGAACUGAGACACGGUCCAGACUCCUACGUGAGGCAGCAGUGGGGAAUAUUGCACAAUGGGCGCAAGCCUGAUGCAGCCAUGCCGAGUGUAUGAAGAAGGCCUUCGGGUUGUAAAGUACUUUCAGCGAGGAGGCGUUACUCGCAGAAGAAGCACCGGCUAACGCCGUGCCAGCCGCCGCGGUAAUUC
rnacentral:rRNA from 1 species